CCCUACGGGGGAAGCAGCAGUCGAGAAUAGUCUACAAUGGACGAAAGUCUGAUAGUGCGACGCCGCGUGGAUGAAGAAGCAUUUCGGUGUGUAAAGUCCUUUUCUGUGCGAGCAAUGUCUUCCAGGUUAAUAGCUUGGGAGAAGCGAUAUUAACACAGGAAUAAGCUCCGGCUAACUCCGUGCCAGCAGCCGCGGUAACACGGGGGGAGCAAGCGUUGUCCGGAAUUACUAGGCGUAAAGGGUAAGUAGGCGGAGUGGUAAGUCAGAUGUUAAAGGCACCGGCUCAACCGGUGUAUGGCAUUUGAUACUGUCAUUCUAGAGUAAGGUGGGGGAAGACGGAAUUCCUGGUGUAGCGGUGGAAUGCGCAGAUAUCAGGAGGAACACCAGAGGCGCAGGCGGUCUUCUAUACCAUUACUGACGCUCAAUUACGAAGGUGUGGGUAUCAAACAGGAUUAGAUACCCUGGUAGUCCACACAGUAAACGAUAUACACUAGGUGUUGGGGGAGAUGAUCUUUCAGUGCCGCAGCUAACGCGUUAAGUGUAUCGCC
rnacentral:rRNA from 1 species